rnacentral:rRNA from 1 species
UACGAAGGGGGCUAGCGUUGCUCGGAAUUACUGGGCGUAAAGGGCGCGUAGGCGGGUCGUUUAGUUAGAGGUGAAAGCCCAGGGCUCAACCCUGGAAUUGCCUUUAAUACUGGCGGCCUUGAGUAUGGCAGAGGUGUGUGGAACUCCGAGUGUAGAGGUGAAAUUCGUAGAUAUUCGGAAGAACACCAGUGGCGAAGGCGACACACUGGGCCAUUACUGACGCUGAGGCGCGAAAGCGUGGGGAGCAAAACGG